CUCAUACUCCCUCCGUCCGAAAAUACUUGUCAUCAAAAUGGAUAAAAAGAGAUGUAUCUAGAACUAAAAUACGUCUAGAUGCAUCCCCUUUUAUCCAUUUUGAUGACAAGUAUUUCCGGACGGAGGGAGUAUAAA
rnacentral:pre_miRNA from 1 species